UACGGGGGGAGCAAGCGUUGUUCGGAUUUACUGGGCGUAAAGGGCGCGUAGGCGGUCAGCACAAGUCAGUUGUGAAAUCUCCGGGCUUAACUCGGAAAGGUUAACUGAUACUGUGCGACUAGAGUGCGGAAGGGGCAACUGGAAUUCUCGGUGUAGCGGUGAAAUGCGUAGAUAUCGAGAGGAACACCUGCGGCGAAGGCGGGUUGCUGGGCCGACACUGACGCUGAUGCGCGAAAGCCAGGGGAGCGAACGGG
rnacentral:rRNA from 1 species